rnacentral:rRNA from 1 species
CAGAGAUUUCCGAAUGGGGAAACCCAGCAUGAGUUAUGUCAUGUUAUCGAUAUGUGAAUACAUAGCAUAUCAGAAGGCACACCCGGAGAACUGAAACAUCUUAGUACCCGGAGGAAGAGAAAGAAAAUUCGAUUCCCUUAGUAGCGGCGAGCGAAACGGGAAGAGCCCAAACCAACAAGCUUGCUUGUUGGGGUUGUAGGACACUCUAUACGGAGUUACAAAGGACGACAUUAGACGAAUCAUCUGGAAAGAUGAAUCAAAGAAGGUAAUAAUCCUGUAGUCGAAAAUGUUGUCUCUCUUGAGUGGAUCCUGAGUACGACGGAGCACGUGAAAUUCCGUCGGAAUCUGGGAGGACCAUCUCCUAAGGCUAAAUACUCUCUAGUGACCGAUAGUGAACCAGUACCGUGAGGGAAAGGUGAAAAGCACCCCGGAAGGGGAGUGAAAUAGAACCUGAAACCGUGUGCUUACAAGUAGUCAGAGCCCGUUAAUGGGUGAUGGCGUGCCUUUUGUAGAAUGAACCGGCGAGUUACGAUUUGAUGCAAGGUUAAGCAGUAAAUGUGGAGCCGUAGCGAAAGCGAGUCUGAAUAGGGCGUUUAGUAUUUGGUCGUAGACCCGAAACCAGGUGAUCUACCCUUGGUCAGGUUGAAGUUCAGGUAACACUGAAUGGAGGACCGAACCGACUUACGUUGAAAAGUGAGCGGAUGAACUGAGGGUAGCGGAGAAAUUCCAAUCGAACCUGGAGAUAGCUGGUUCUCUCCGAAAUAGCUUUAGGGCUAGCCUCAAGUGAUGAUUAUUGGAGGUAGAGCACUGUUUGGACGAGGGGCCCCUCUCGGGUUACCGAAUUCAGACAAACUCCGAAUGCCAAUUAAUUUAACUUGGGAGUCAGAACAUGGGUGAUAAGGUCCGUGUUCGAAAGGGAAACAGCCCAGACCACCAGCUAAGGUCCCAAAAUAUAUGUUAAGUGGAAAAGGAUGUGGCGUUGCCCAGACAACUAGGAUGUUGGCUUAGAAGCAGCCAUCAUUUAAAGAGUGCGUAAUAGCUCACUAGUCGAGUGACACUGCGCCGAAAAUGUACCGGGGCUAAACA